rnacentral:rRNA from 1 species
UACAGAGGUCUCAAGCGUUGUUCGGAUUCAUUGGGCGUAAAGGGUGCGUAGGCGGCGCGGUAAGUCGGGUGUGAAAUUUCGAGGCUUAACUUCGAAACUGCAUUCGAUACUGCCGUGCUUGAGUACUGGAGAGGAGACUGGAAUUUACGGUGUAGCGGUGAAAUGCGUAGAUAUCGUAAGGAAGACCAGUGGCGAAGGCAGGUCUCUGGACUGUUCCUGACGCUGAGGCACGAAGGCCAGGGGAGCAAACGGG